rnacentral:pre_miRNA from 1 species
AGUGAAAUUGCUGGUUCAUAUGGUAACUCCAUGUUUUUAUUUAUUUAUUUAUUUACUUUUUGGGGAACUGAGAAACUAUUUCCAAAGUAGCUGUCCCAUUCUACAUUACCACCAGCAAC